GACGUAGGGCGCGAGCGUUGUCCGGAUUUAUUGGGCGUAAAGAGCUCGUAGGCGGCUUGUCGCGUCUGCUGUGAAAACCCGAGGCUCAACCUCGGGCCUGCAGUGGGUACGGGCAGACUAGAGUGCGGUAGGGGAGAUUGGAAUUCCUGGUGUAGCGGUGGAAUGCGCAGAUAUCAGGAGGAACACCGGUGGCGAAGGCGGGUCUCUGGGCCGAUAUUGACGCUGAGGAGCGAAAGCGUGGGGAGCGAACAGG
rnacentral:rRNA from 1 species